rnacentral:lncRNA from 1 species
AUAGUUUAGUAGAAGGAACACGUGAUGGGAAUCUAGAAGACCCAGGUCUGAUCUUGGCUUUGUUCAGACAUUAACCAGCUGUGUGACUUUGGUUCCUGCUAGAUAAAGGGACAGCUUUCCACAGAUGAACAGCAGCCUACAAAUGUCUCCCCUGUUGAGAGCCACCUUGGGAGCUGGCACUUUUCAUUCUGACCUGCCCAGCAUCAGACAUCACCAGAUCGAUGACAUACACUCCACAAGGGAUUGAGGUUCUGGCAGCCAGUUUGAUCAUAAAAUUAAAAGCUCUUUCUGGAGUGCAGGAACCUGAGAGGAGGAUGCUCUUCCUCCCCCUCCCAACACUGUCCGGCUGCCCUCUCAUACCUCCUUCCACUGCAACAAGCACAGAGACUGAUGUUAAUAGGUCAGUGGGUAACAGAGUAACAGAGUGGUGGAUCAGAUUAUAUUUAGGGAUCCAGAACAGCCCUCCCCCUCCAUUAGCAAUGAAUUAUAAUGAGGACCAUAAUUUGGAGACAUCAGUUCAGGGACAAAUAGAACAGAAGAUGGAAGGCCCAUGGUCAGAGGGAAAGAUUGGUCCUCUGCUUCCAGACUCUUGCAGCCUUCCCUCAGGGAAGUUAUAUCUAUUCUCACCAAAGCUAGAAAUCUCUGGGAGCAGGGAUGGAAGUCUCUGUUUUCACUCUUGGAAAUUGCAUCCAAACCCUUGCUGACUUCACUACAGCAGGAGAGAAGGUAUGUGGUCUGGGAGAAGGUUCCUAUUCUUACCUAAAUCUGAUGAAACUAACGGGAGAAGACAACACAUGAAGGAGAGCUGAAAAACACACGUGUGUGUGAUAAGGGGAUAACAUAGUCUUGUUUACUGAC